CCCUUAGAUGUUCUGGGCCGCACGCGCGCUACACUGAUGCAUUCAGCGAGUUUUUCCUGGUCCGAGAGGAAUGGGUAACCUUUUGAAAGUGCAUCGUGCUAGGGAUAGACUAUUGCAAUUAUUGGUCUUCAACGAGGAAUUCCUAGUAGACGUAGUUCAUCAGACUGCAUCGAUUACGUCCCUGCCCUUUGUACACACCGCCCGUCGCUCCUACCGAUUGAGUGGUCCGGUGAGGCUUUGGGAUCUGAGCGGAAAGAGCGUUUCGCUGUUUCUGCUCGGAAAACUCAGUCGAACCUUAUCAUUUAGAGGAAGGAGAAGUCGUAACA
rnacentral:rRNA from 1 species